rnacentral:misc_RNA from 1 species
CAAUUUCAAGGUAGAGUUGAGUUUUAAGUUUGAGAUUCCUUUCCCACAUUCUAAGGAAGACUUAUUCGUCCUACUUAUGGAGUCUUCUACAAGUUCUAGUAAUUUGUUUCAAGUGUCAAGUAAGUGAGAAUGAGAGUACUUAGAAUGUAUUCAUGAGUCACCUAGAUGCUUCAUAUCAUGAACAAUAAGUUUCGAGUUCAUAAUUCACAUUCAAGAG